UACGGGGGGGGCAAGCGUUGUUCGGAAUUACUGGGCGUAAAGGGUUUGUAGGUGGCUUGUUAAGUCGAACGUGAAAUCCCCGAGCUCAACUCGGGAACUGCGUCCGAUACUGGUGGGCUUGAAUCCGGGAGAGGGAUGCGGAAUUCCAGGUGUAGCGGUGAAAUGCGUAGAUAUCUGGAGGAACACCGGUGGCGAAGGCGGCAUCCUGGACCGGCAUUGACGCUGAGGCGCGAAAGCUAGGGGAGCAAACGGG
rnacentral:rRNA from 1 species